rnacentral:lncRNA from 1 species
GAUUGUUAGCAACAUGAACAGCAGCCAUACUAUCACAAUAAACAGAAAAAGGAGAUGAAACAGGGACCCCAAGAUCAACCAACAGGCGAGAGAGCCAAGUCAAUUCAGCAACAACCUUGCUUUUAGGCUCGGUAUUCUGCCUCAGCAGAGGAAAGAGAAACAACAGGUUGUUUCUUCGAUUUCCAACUGAUCAAACAGCCACCCAAGAGCACACAAAAUCCAGUAAUAGAGCGCCUAGUAUCAGGGCAGGCAGCGCAGUCACUAUCAGAAUACCCAACAACAGAAAAAUCAGCAUGAUCAGAAUAAAACAAACCCAAUGAGGGAGUGCCUUUGAGGUAUCUCAGAACAUGCAGGGCAGCAGUCAUAUGGGGAAGUCUGGGGGAUUUGAGAAAUUGACUCAGGUGCUGGACUGCAUAACAGAUGUCANNNNNNNNNNNGGGAGACCCCAGCAACAACCUUGCUAAGGGCUCGGUAUUCUGCCUCAGCAGAGGAUAGAGAAACAACAGGCUGUUUCUUUGAUUUCCAAAUGAUCAAACAGCCACCCAAAAGCACACAAAAACCAGUAACAGAUCGCCUGGUAUCAGGGCAAGCAGCCCAGUCACUAUCAGAAUACCCAGCAACAGAAAAAUCAGCAUGAUCAGAAUAAAACAAACCCAAUGAGGGAGUGCCUUUGAGGUAUCUCAGAACAUGCAGGGCAGCAGUCAUAUGGGGAAGUCUGGGGGAUUCAAGAAAUUGACUCAGGUGCUGGACUGCAUAUCAGAUGUCAUGCCUAGUGUGAGUCAAGAAGAGCAUCUUGCCAACUAGACUCAUGUACUGAUCAGGAGAGGGCAAGAGGUCACCAGAAUCAGCAUGAAGUUUGACAUUG